GGCAGGCCUAACACAUGCAAGUCGAACGAGAAGCUAGAGCUUGCUCUAGUGGAAAGUGGCAGACGGGUGAGUAACACGUGGGAAUCUACCCAGAGGUACGGAAUAAUGCAGGGAAACUUGUACUAAUACCGUAUGUGCCCCUUCGGGGGGAAAGCGUUAUGUAGCGCCUUUGGAUGAGCCCGCGCUGGAUUAGGUAGUUGGUGGGGUAAUGGCCUACCAAGCCUACGAUCUAUAGCUGGUUUGAGAGAGUGAUCAGCCACACUGGGACUGAGAUACGGCCCAGACUCCUACGGGAGGCAGCAGUGAGGAAUAUUGCGCAAUGGAGGAAACUCUGACGCAGCAACGCCGCGUGGGGGAUGAAGUUCUAUGGAGCGUAAACCCCUGUAAGUAGGGACGAACGGCAGGUAUUCGAAUAGGAUGCCUGUAUGACGGUACCUACAGAGUAAGCUCCGGCUAACUCCGUGCCAGCAGCCGCGGUAAUACGGGGGGAGCAAGCGUUGUCCGGAAUUACUGGGCGUAAAGGGCGUGUAGGCGGUCGUGCAAGUCGGUGGUGAAAGCCCUCGGCUCAACCGAGGAAUUGCCCCCGAAACUGCACGACUGGAGUCCCGGAGAGGGUAGUGGAAUUCCCAGUGUAGCGGUGAAAUGCGUAGAUAUUGG
rnacentral:rRNA from 1 species